CUCAUUUUGUAUAAAAAGAUUAGAUCACAUUGUCCUGUAUUAUCAAAUCCUCCAUGACUGGUGAUAAAUACUUCCAUAUGAAAAACUUUAUGAGAUAUUGUUACAUAUUUUCUAUCGGACAAAUUUUUAAAAGUGAUACGCUAUGAAGUUUAAUAAGUGGAAAGAUUACGUUGAAUAGAAAAUUAGCGGAGGCAAACUAGUCAUUACCUUUGUUAACAACUUGCUUGUCACCCGUCAUCCCCUGCACCGUGGCAGCACAUCAAGCUGGUUGGGCGGCUGAGGUGGGCUAGCUGAUCGAGUGGGUCAGACCUGCCAGUCAUUCGGAAGCUAAACAACUGGCAAAAUAGUGCGAAAGGGAACCGACUAGCGAAACUCGUGCAGAAGGGAGUUGACUGGCGACUCGUAUAUAAGGGGGUCGACUGGCGAGUUGUUUGGAAGAAAAAUGACUGCCAGUCGUGCAGAAGGGCGACGACUGGCAAAAUUGUGCGGAAGAGCAACAAUUGGCGACUCAUGCAAGGGCAAUGACUAGCGAGCCGUUCGAACUGGUGAGAGGAUACGUGAGGGCCGGCCCGAGGGUAAGGGUUGUGCCCGUGGCGUGAUAAAAUUGAACGGGUAAUUGUUAUCGUAACUUUCCCUUUCCAUUUCCCUUUUCUCCCAUGUGCAGUCCUCUCUUGUGCGCAAUAGUUAUAUUCUACAAUUUUUGCUUCUCCUCUCUUCUACCCACAGCAGCAACAAUGAAGAUCAGAUCUGACAUUGUCGGUUUGUUCUCAUUAUCAUCUUUUAGUUUUUGUUACUUGAUUUCUCUUAUAUGCUUGCUUCUUGUAUGAAUUGUUAAAAAAAAUAAAAGUUGAGAAAUUUUACUUCAGGAUCAUAGAUACACCUACAAUACCUCCCACUACUAGAGAACAUUGAAAUGUUCAGCACUUACUCGUUAGAGAGCACACUGUUGACCCGCCUGUACAGGGAGUUAUCAGAGACUAUAAAACCAAAAAGGGCGAAGAUUGCUAGUUGCAUUCAUUCAUUACAAAUUCGGGCAUGGGAGCAUAUACAUGUGGGUCAUCCUAGGCUGCACAUUCCAAUCCCAGAAACACUAGAAGGGGCUAACGUCAGGGUGAGAUGGAAUGAGAAAUGGCCUAGGGAAAGAUCAUUAGGAGAUGUGGGCACGAACUUGAUGGUCUACUCCAAAAUUAGAUCUGAAUAAAAUAAAUUAUUUCAGAUUUACUCAUUUGUAGAAGGAUAUCCAUAACAAUUACUCCUACAGGUCUAGGAAGGUUGACCUUCCUAUAAUUAGAAGAUUUCAAUUCUAUUAUGUUCUGAUCGUCUAACUUACUUAAUCGUUUGAUUGUCAUAGCAGCGCUCGGUGGCGUUACUAGAGGUUUUCAAAAGGAUUCUGAAGAUCCUGAUGAUGAUAUUCUAGUAAUUACCAAAUGUUUGUCUUUUUGUAGAUUCACAAUUUCUCACAGGAUGAAUUGUUCUACACUUGUGCACGACCUUUCUUCCCAUACCAAGAAGCACAGCAGAGAGAGGUUCACUACCAUUGAGAAAGAGAAGAAAGCUAUGGACGUGGGUUCGGGAAGUCAGCCCCAGGUAGCGAACACAGACCAGAAGCUUGACUUGACUGGCAUGGAUGAACAGCCACCACCGAUACAGGUUCAGUUACAGGUGCACGCCAGUGGGAAGUUGGGAUUGAGACGAUAAAGGCCAAGCACGGAGGCCAUAUGAGAGUCAUACAGAGAUGCCAUCUUUACUCAUUUAGCAUGCAUAUGCAUGGAGGGUAUACACAUUUGGAUAGCUCGGGCACCAUUGAUUUGUUGGAAAAGAGUAGAAUGGCACCUUCCUGACAUGGUGAUUCGCCAAUUCGGAUACUUUCCCAAAAUGGGUAGUGGUUGGUGUUUACUUCACUUGUGGAUCAUGGACCAUCGCAACAAUUUAACAGUCCUCCCAUAGAAGAUUUGGGUAUCAGGACUGAGUAUCAGCAAUGGAGAAUCACUGAGAUUCAUUGGGGUCCAUCCGAUGUAGGCAAUUCAUCACAAGUGUACCCCAACAUCUAUUCAAUUGUUCACUCCGGCAUAUAUCCCACCAUAUGCACAUCUUAGUGUCCACCUCAGUGAUUACCACAACAGUGUACCCCAACAUCAUGAACUUCGUCAUAGGCCAGUUCGUUGUCCGGAUCACUACACCCCAAGCACAGAUGUGUUGCCCGAUAGACAUCGAAAGAAAUGAUAUGUUCAUCCUUUGAGAAUUGUUCUAUAUUAUAUCCUAAAUUGACCUUGCUUUUUUGUCUAUAAUACUUAACACGGCAAAGAACUCCCAUAUUUUCAA